rnacentral:rRNA from 1 species
UUAGAGUUUGAUCCUGGCUCAGGAUGAACGCUAGCGGCAGGCUUAACACAUGCAAGUCGAGGGGCAGCGAGAUCAGUGCUUGCACUGAUUGUCGGCGACCGGCGCACGGGUGCGUAACGCGUAUGCAACCUACCCAUUACAGGGGGAUAACACUGAGAAAUCGGUACUAAUACCCCAUAACAUCCAGGGAGGCAUCUUCUUGGGUUGAAAACUCCGGUGGUAAUGGAUGGGCAUGCGUUGUAUUAGUUAGUUGGUGGGGUAACGGCUCACCAAGACAACGAUACAUAGGGGGACUGAGAGGUUAACCCCCCACAUUGGUACUGAGACACGGACCAAACUCCUACGGGAGGCAGCAGUGAGGAAUAUUGGUCAAUGGACGCAAGUCUGAACCAGCCAUGCCGCGUGCAGGAAGACGGCUCUAUGAGUUGUAAACUGCUUUUGUACGAGGGUAAACGCAGAUACGCGUAUCUGUCUGAAAGUAUCGUACGAAUAAGGAUCGGCUAACUCCGUGCCAGCAGCCGCGGUAAUACGGAGGAUUCAAGCGUUAUCCGGAUUUAUUGGGUUUAAAGGGUGCGUAGGCGGUCGGAUAAGUUAGAGGUGAAAUCCCGGGGCUCAACUUCGGAAUUGCCUCUGAUACUGUUCGGCUAGAGAGUAGUUGCGGUAGGCGGAAUGUAUGGUGUAGCGGUGAAAUGCUUAGAGAUCAUACAGAACACCGAUUGCGAAGGCAGCUUACCAAGCUACUUCUGACGUUGAGGCACGAAAGCGUGGGGAGCAAACAGGAUUAGAUACCCUGGUAGUCCACGCAGUAAACGAUGAUAACUCGUUGUCGGCGAUACAGUGUCGGUGACUAAGCGAAAGCGAUAAGUUAUCCACCUGGGGAGUACGUUCGCAAGAAUGAAACUCAAAGGAAUUGACGGGGGCCCGCACAAGCGGAGGAACAUGUGGUUUAAUUCGAUGAUACGCGAGGAACCUUACCCGGGCUUGAAAGUUAGUGACGGAUCUUGAAAGAGGUCUUCCCUUCGGGGCACGAAACUAGGUGCUGCAUGGUUGUCGUCAGCUCGUGCCGUGAGGUGUCGGGUUAAGUCCCAUAACGAGCGCAACCCCUACCGUUAGUUGCCAGCAGGUCAAGCUGGGCACUCUGACGGGACUGCCGGUGUAAGCCGAGAGGAAGGUGGGGAUGACGUCAAAUCAGCACGGCCCUUACGUCCGGGGCUACACACGUGUUACAAUGGCAGGUACAGAGGGCAGCUACCCAGCGAUGGGAUGCGAAUCUCGAAAGCCUGUCUCAGUUCGGAUUGGAGGCUGAAACCCGCCUCCAUGAAGUUGGAUUCGCUAGUAAUCGCGCAUCAGCCAUGGCGCGGUGAAUACGUUCCCGGGCCUUGCACUCACCGCCCGUCAAG